rnacentral:rRNA from 1 species
CACGGAGUUAGCCGAUCCUUAUUCUUCGAGUACGUUCAGCUAUCCACUCGUGGAUAGGUUUAUUCCUCGACAAAAGCAGUUUACAACCCAUAGGGCAGUCGUCCUGCACGCGGCAUGGCUGGUUCAGGCUUCCGCCCAUUGACCAAUAUUCCUUACUGCUGCCUCCCGUAGGAGUCUGGUCCGUGUCUCAGUACCAGUGUGGGGGAUUCUCCUCUCAGAGCCCCUAGACAUCGUCGCCUUGGUGGGCCGUUACCCCACCAACUAGCUAAUGUCACGCGAGCCCAUCCCAUAUCCUAUAAAUAUUUAACAACGCCUCCAUGCGAAGGUGAUGUGUUAUGCGGUCUUAAUCCGGAUUUCUCCGGGCUAUCCCCCUGAUAUGGGCAGGUUGCUCACGCGUUACGCACCCGUGCGCCACUCUCACUAUCUCGAGCAAGCUCUCCGAUAGAUCCCCGUCCGACUUGCAUGUAUUAGGCCUGCCGCUAGCGUUCAUUCCG